rnacentral:rRNA from 1 species
UACAGAGGAGGCAAGCGUUAUUCGGAAUCAUUGGGCUUAAAGCGCGUGUAGGCGGCUUGGUAAGCGUCCCGUGAAAUCUCACUGCUCAACGGUGAAACUGCGGGGCGAACUGCCUGGCUUGAGGUUGGUAGAGGUGCCUGGAACUCUAGGUGGAGCGGUGAAAUGCGUAGAUAUCUAGAGGAACACCAGAGGCGAAAGCGGGGCACUGGGCCAAUACUGACGCUGAGACGCGAAAGCGUGGGGAGCAAACAGG